AGGCCCGUAUUAAUAGAUCGAUCUCAAACGUCAUCUUAAGUGCGUCUCAGCUGAGAUUGACUUGAGACGUGAGCAACGUCUUAAGUCUGUCACUAAUUAAUAAACAUGACUUAAGCUCAACUCAGCUGAGAUUGAUCUCAAGUAGCAGUUGGAGACAAACUCAUGUUUCUUUUUUAUUUCUUGGCUUAGUUACCAAACUUUCAAGUCCAUUUCAAUGAGUUGCGCGUGAAUAGAUGGCUUUUUUGUUAUUAUUUUUAACCAACAAAACGCAGAUGUAAGUUACCUACUGACGCUAAACGCAACUGUCAGUAUUUGACAGGCCAGACCGAUUUGUUUGAUUGAAUUUUGCAAAAUGGAUAAAGAAAUUUACUUUUUCCUGUGCCGAAAAACAAUUACUUAUUAAAAAACAGCCAUAUUAUAGAAAAUAAGCCGACGGACGGGGCCACACUUCGCAUAACAAAAUGAGUCGUAGAACUCAGUAACCCGGGAAUUCAAUGCGAGCCCGCUUACUACGCAAAACGUCAAGAAUCAGCACCUCCGCAAGCUGUGGCAAAACCUCAAGCAGCGUCAAAGGGAUGCCUUGACCAAAGAAAGAGUAUACAACACCGCUUGAUUCUACGGAUUCCGACCCAGACAAGACCCAGACCCAGACGACUAUAAUCCGACUACCGAUCCAGCCUUGAUUUAAAAAAUGUGUUGCUGUUGCAGUUUCUUGUCAUUUCUUCUCCUCAACCGUAACAACACCUUGCGAAAUGACGUAGAUUUAAAAAAUUCGUAAUUGUAAAUAAGAAUUAAAGUAUACAUUUCUCAAUAACUAUCUU